rnacentral:tRNA from 1 species
GCCGGGAUGGUGGAAUUGGUAGACACAAGGGACUUAAAAUCCCUCGGGAGUGAUCCCGUGCCGGUUCGAGUCCGGCUCCCGGUA